GAAAGCUUAUUCAAUUUAAUACAACUUUCAUGAAGAAAUUGUAAACCAAAAACGACUAAAAAUUGGUUAAAUUGUAGGAACAAGUUAAAGAGGUCGUGUGCGCGCGAUUCUGGAAGUGGUUCUGUUUUGAGGGUUAUAUGUGUUUAUGCACGGGGAAUCAGAUUUAUAUGUCUUCAGAUAAGUUUUAGAGGAUCUCAAAAUGAAGAGUUUGAUAUAAAGAACACUCAUUUUGGUUAAGUAUUGAGAAAGUUAUAGUCCUUUGAAGUUUAUGUUAGACAUCUGGAAAUUUUAGAGAAUUGUUGAAAUAGGAUUUUAUUUCUUAAGCUUUGUUUUCGUGAGCGUCAUCUUUGGUGCGACAUGUUAUGUAUAUCUUUAGGAAACCAGAAUGUUUAGGGUUUUAAUACUCGGUUGGAUUGUUGGCAGGCCGAGAAGAAUUAAACCGAGCUUAUAGACCAAGGAUCUAGCCCAAGACUGUAGAGAUCGACUUCCCGGUGCCUGAUAGACUACCUUAGUCUGCGGAAGCUUCAUUAUCGAUUGCCAGUACGUGUUUUGAGUUGGGCAUAAAGUCUGUUGUGUUGUGAUGUAUUCACACCCUUGUAUGUUAUAGAUACUCCACAGUUUGUAUAAGCUUUAGGAGCUGUAGUUGUGUAAAUUUUGUUGGUUAUAUUUUGAUUAAGGUGUCUUUAGGUUUACUCGUGAAAUCGGUAAAUUUUGAGGUACACUUCAUGUAUGUGUUUGACUAGCUGUGUUUGACUAGCCUAGGAUCCGCUGUGUUUUGUGGCAUGUACAAUAGUUUAUAUACUAGAUUGGCAAGUUCA